rnacentral:lncRNA from 1 species
GCUCCCAAGGUGCUCUACUUCCAUCCACGCGGAGGUUUCUCAGGUCCCGCGAGUUAUUUUAAAUGCGGUUUUCAAGUGCUUGUCUGCUUAAGAGCGUACACUGACGGAAAAUGAGCAUAUAGAAGUGGUCGAAUAUUAACCAUAACUAAAAAAACUAAGUAAUAGAAAAUAGAGGUCAUCAUACCCUUUCAUCAGUACAAGAACCUUGCAACCUUAUGCCCAUUGAACUCUUAACUCAUCUUUGAAGUACUAUUUAUGUUUUUCAUAUGUAUUCAAGUGUAUUAUGUGCUCGUUAGCUUUCAAGAUCCUAUUGUUCUCUGUGUAGCACCGCGUGUGUCAUAAUGGUUUGCAUAUUUGUUUGUUAACUGCUGCUGUUUUCUGGUUUUUCACUCGCUUUUCUUUUCCACUCAGCUGGCAUUUUCGCAUUGCUCAGCUGGGCGUUUGUGGUCAUUGCUAAUUAAAGAUUAUGCGCUGCGCGUGUCCCCGAUGCAUUCCCGGGAUCAAAUGGGAUUCCCCGGAUGGCUGAUGGCUAAAGUUGAUGGCCAAGCUUACCUGGUUGGGUGGUAAUACGCGCAGCAGAACUUCACUGGAUAGUUGAAUACUUCGAUACUUGUAUAGCUGGAUACUUGGAUACCUAGGUACUUGGAUAGCUGGAUACUGGAUACCCGUAUAAAUCGAGUGGCUCUGUAAAUGGCUGUGGAUUGGCGAUUGCCUCGGACUUUGCUUUUGUUUUAUUCCGCAGAAGUGUAAAUUGCGGCUCAAUGUGCGAAAUUAUCAUUACCAUAUCGGGUUGUCA